rnacentral:rRNA from 1 species
GCGGGGAAAGUUCCGACGGUAAAGGAUGAGCAUGCGUCCCAUUAGCUAGUUGGUGAGGUAACGGCUCACCAAGGCGACGAUGGGUAGGGGGCCUGAGAGGGUGAUCCCCCACACUGGUACUGAGACACGGACCAGACUCCUACGGGAGGCAGCAGUGAGGAAUAUUGGGCAAUGGAGGCAACUCUGACCCAGCCAUGCCGCGUGCAGGAAGACGGCCCUCUGGGUUGUAAACUGCUUUUGUUUGGGAAUAAACCCUUCUACGUGUAGGAGGCUGAAGGUACCAUUCGAAUAAGCAUCGGCUAACUCCGUGCCAGCAGCCGCGGUAAUACGGAGGAUGCAAGCGUUAUCCGGAUUUAUUGGGUUUAAAGGGUCCGUAGGCGGGUCUUUAAGUCAGUGGUGAAAGCCCACAGCUCAACUGUGGAACUGCCAUUGAUACUGGAGAUCUUGAGUGUAGUAGAAGUAGGCGGAAUAGGGCAUGUAGCGGUGAAAUGCAUAGAUAUGCCCUGGAACACCGAUUGCGAAGGCAGCUUACUAUGUUACAACUGACGCUGAGGGACGAAAGCGUG